ensembl:lncRNA LINC02693 long intergenic non-protein coding RNA 2693
GCGAGGAGCGAGCCGCUUCUCCCCAUCACAGCGAUUCCCAGGGUUGUCAUAGAAACCACUCCCUGGGGCUUGGCAAAGCAGGAGCCCUCCGUGGCAGGGCUUCGGUGUCGGGGCUCCGAGGCUCCGGCCUGACUUCUCCACGGGGUCCACAGGAGCGUCUCCGGAUGCCAGGACCUGAAAUGGGCCGACCAGGAUGAGGAAACCACAGGCAGAGGCCGGGGAAGCAGCGCGGCAUCCCAUCCUCAGGCCUGCCCGGACGGUGUUCGGAAUCAUCUCCCCUGCCCCACAAACAUGAAAGAAAAGACAAGAGAAGCACCCCAGAAGAGGAGGGGAGAAGUGCCCCAGAAAAAAUCAUCCAGUCUCUGAAGCUUUGCCCAGGAGCCAGCUGAGGAGGUGUGUCAUGCAACUUGCCCCCCCAGCCCUCCCCUUCUAAGGAACCCCCACACCUGCUCUGUCUUCCUGCUACAGUCUCUGAGAAAAGCCCUUUCAUCUGUCAAGAACUACAAAAGUCAUUCUUUAAGUGCUAAAUAAACAAUGAAACAGACACAAAGUUAAAGUUACCUGAUCCAAAAAGGAGUGAAGCCUAGACCCCAGCCCACUGACUCAGUCUCUAAGACCCCUCACUCAAAUCUUCAAUCAACAGUGGAGAUGGCUGUGAGCUCUUCUGAUUCCAGAUGACAAUACUCCUCCCUUUAAUUCCUUGAUAUGUUUAAUUAUGUAAGUAAAUUUAAUAUAAAAAUCAUUGCAUUAGAGUUCAUUGUUUUUAUACAAGAUUCAGUGUGAGAUCAAUGUUAUACUUCCAAUUUGUCACACUUACAGAGAACUGAGAAGAAUCACAUUAUUUAAAAUCUUAGCAAAUGUGCAUAAUUCCUUUGGAUAAUUUUAAAGUGAUAGGAUUGGAUCACAUAUGAUGCAAUUGCCUGGGUCUGUUUUGUUUUUAGUUGUAUUUGUCUCUCAUAUUGUGAAUCUCAUAUUUAUGUGACUAAUUAUCAGAAGAUUUUAUCUUUAUUAUGCAUAUUUAGUAUAAAAUGAUCAUACAGUGAAGAGUGUGUAAAAUCAAAAUAAAAUGCCAUUCAUCACCUCUGGCUCUCA